rnacentral:rRNA from 1 species
UACGAAGGGGGGCUAGCGUUGCUCGGAAUUACUGGGCGUAAAGGGCGCGUAGGCGGCACUGUUAGUCAGGCGUGAAAGUCCUGGGCUCAACCUGGGAACUGCGCUUGAUACGGCAGAGCUAGAGGAUGGAAGAGGCUCGCGGAAUUCCCAGUGUAGAGGUGAAAUUCGUAGAUAUUGGGAGGAACACCGGUGGCGAAGGCGGCGAGCUGGUCCAUUACUGACGCUGAGGCGCGACAGCGUGGGGGAGCAAACAGG